rnacentral:rRNA from 1 species
AUUGAACGCUGGCGGCAGGCCUAACGCAUGCAAGUCGAGCGGAUGACGGGAGCUUGCUCCUGGAUUCAGCGGCGGACGGGUGAGAAAUGCCUAGGAAUCUGCCUGGUAGUGGGGGACAACGUUUCGAAAGGAACGCUAAUACCGCAUACGUCCUACGGGAGAAAGCAGGGGACCUUCGGGCCUUGCGCUAUCAGAUGAGCCUAGGUCGGAUUAGCUAGUUGGUGAGGUAAUGGCUCACCAAGGCGACGAUCCGUAACUGGUCUGAGAGGAUGAUCAGUCACACUGGAACUGAGACACGGUCCAGACUCCUACGGGAGGCAGCAGUGGGGAAUAUUGGACAAUGGGCGAAAGCCUGAUCCAGCCAUGCCGCGUGUGUGAAGAAGGUCUUCGGAUUGUAAAGCACUUUAAGUUGGGAGGAAGGGUUGUAGAUUAAUACUCUGCAAUUUUGACGUUACCGACAGAAUAAGCACCGGCUAACUCUGUGCCAGCAGCCGCAGUAACAC